UAUUCCUCAUGUUCUCUGAAAGUUCGAAGUUCUCACCUUUAAUUUUUUAGAAAAAGUUCUUUAAUUGCUUAUUUGAUGCUCAUAAUAUUUGUUUUUCUGAAUAAAAUUUGCUAAUUUUUGUCUUUGAAAUCAUUAUAGAUUCUGUUUUGUGUUUGUUGUUUUAUUCAUUGUUUUUUUGUUUGAUACCUGUUUGUUUGUUGACUGCUGCAGGGAACUGAUGCACAUAGUUUUUG
rnacentral:misc_RNA from 1 species